rnacentral:lncRNA from 1 species
CAGGUUCACCUUCUUUCUUCUCUUCCACCACAGGUGCAGCUUCUUUCUUCUCUUCCACCACAGGUUCAGCUUCUUUCUUCUCUUCCACCACAGGUUCAGCUUCUUUCUUCACUUCCACCACAGGUACAGCUUCUUUCUUCUCAACAGGUUCAGCUUCUUUCUUCGAUUCCACCACAGGUACAGUUUCUUUCUUCUCCUCCACCACAGGUUCAGCUUCUUUCUUCUCUUCCACCACAAGUGCAGUUUCUUUCUUCUCUUCGACCACAGGUGCAGUGAAUUCAUGUUUGUUCAGAGCAUCUCGAACCAAUUCCUUCAACUCAGCUAAAGCCUUCUGUUCAGGAUUUG